AUUAAAAGGUAAAACAAUAAUUUUUUUUCACUAAAAUCCCAGUUUUCUUUAUACCCUACACAUUGAAGAACUGGGUUAGAGAGUGCAAGUUCCAACUGGUCAUUUUAAAUCCACAAAGCCACCUGUGACAGGCUGCCACUAAACAAAUGAGCAAUUCCUGCACUCUCCUUAUCUAUAAUUAGCUCUGGAUUGAGGGGCUGUGCGGCCACCCACUCAGGACCACUCUUGGAAAUCCAGGAGCUGUUCUUAACUCUUCCUAUUUCCACUUAAGACUUCAAACCGCCUCCUUUGGUUUGAGACUUCAUCCCUCGAUGUGAGACCAGGAGCUUGGCACAAACAGAAACAGUAUUAUUUGGGGUCCUGCACAUCAAGCUAAGUAUAUCAUUUCCAUGAUGUCAAAAAAAAGACUCAAUUUAUUAACUCACAGAAGACAAUGAAAAUGCCUUUCAUCGCAAAGUUGAUCUGCAAGUGGACCUUUGUACUUCUAACUGGCAGAAGCGCCUGACACGAGUGCCACAGCAGAUGUGCAGAGGUUGCUACCAUUUGACAUCAGGUCCUAACGAGCUGGGUAGAGGAAGGUGUAGGAGGCUGCGCAGUAUAGCGCUCUUCUGUCACGUGUGGACCAUCACCCAUGUGGUUCUACAUUCGGGAACCUAAGUGUUACCUUGACUCUAAUCCAUCAACAAGUUUUGAUUUUACUCUUCAAUUUCUCUUAAGUCCAUCUACUUCUUUUCCACCACUGUCCUAGUCUAUGCCUCCAUCGUCUCUUUCUUGAAAGACAAUAGUUACUCCUAGCUGAACUCUUCUCUCCCUUACUAGCCAUUUCUCCUUUCUUCUCCAGUCUGCCAAGCCUCGGUACAGUUUUCAAAAUGUAAGUUUCACUGCCCAGUCCUUUCCCUAGUCCCCUUUUUUUUUUUUGUACCAGGGAUCAAACUCAGGACCUUGUGCCUACAAGGCAGGUGAUGGAACCACUGAGCUAAAUCCCCAGCCCUCUCUAGUCACCUUUUAAGUGGCUGCUUUUGCUUUUACUUCAACAGGGCUGUCAUGGGGUCUACAGUGUCUUGGGAAACGCCCCCUCCUCCUACCACCACCUGGCCUCUCCUCUGCCCACCUGCACUCUUCACUUUGCUAACUCCUACUAUCCUUCAGAUGGAGCACAUUCCUUUCUUUUCUAUAACCAUCAUUAUCACUUAAAUUUAAUUAAUGUUUAUUUGGGACUCUCAGUUCCAUAAGGGCAGGAAAUGUCUGUUUUGGCUGCAUUGAAUCUCCAUCAAAGAUUAAAUGAAUGAGUAUCUUUAGUACAUUACUGUAUUUUAAAAUACAUACAAGUUUGUACUGCAACACAGAUUCUCUAGCUCUUUGCCUGGAGGUGGGGACUACACAUUACCACCCCCACCCCCAACACUGCACAACACAGACACAUUUCAAGAAGGUCCUAUUUUGUUAUCAUGUAUUAUUUGCUGAAUCUCAUUUCCCCACAGAUUUGUAAGGUUUUCUUGGUUACAGAUCAAAUUUACAUAUAUGCACGAGUCUAUUUCCAUGUCUAUCGAUGGAGAUUACUGUGUCUGCUACUUCAGCUUUAUGAUGUUACUGUCUUCACACUAGCUAACUAGCUUGUCUGAAGAUAGACAAGUCACUUUUGCCCUCUUUUUUAAUCUCUCAAAUGCAUAAUCAUAAUAUCCACAUACAAGGUUGUUUAAAGGAAACAAGCCUGGUAUGUAAAGCCCCAGACAGAAGCCGGUCAGGGUGGCGCACGUGCGCCUGACUAUCUCAACACUCCGGGAGCUGAGGCAGGAAGAUCACCCUGAGUUUCAGGCCACCCUGGG
rnacentral:lncRNA from 1 species